rnacentral:rRNA from 1 species
CCUACGGGUGGCAGCAGUGGGGAAUAUUGGGCAAUGGGCGCAAGCCUGACCCAGCAACGCCGCGUGAAGGAAGAAGGCUUUCGGGUUGUAAACUUCCUUUCUCAGGGACGAAGAAAGUGACGGUACCUGAGGAAUAAGCCACGGCUAACUACGUGCCAGCAGCCGCGGUAAUCCGUAGGUGGCAAUCGUGCUCCGGAUUCAUUGGGUGUAAAGGGCGUGUAGGCGGGAGCGCAAGUCAGAUGUGAAAACUCAGGGCUCAACCCUGAGCGUGCAUUUGAAACUGUGUUUCUUGAGUGCGAGGGAGGCAAGCGGAAUGCGGGGUGUAGCGGUGAAAUGCGUAGAUAUACGGAGGAACACCAGUGGCGAAGGCGGAUUGCUGGACAGUAACUGACGCUGAGGCGCGAAAGCGUGGGGAGCAAACAGGAUUAGAUACCCCAGUAGUC